rnacentral:rRNA from 1 species
GAUGAACGCUGGCGGCGUGCCUAAUACAUGCAAGUCGAGCGAACAGACGAGGAGCUUGCUCCUCUGACGUUAGCGGCGGACGGGUGAGUAACACGUGGAUAACCUACCUAUAAGACUGGGAUAACUUCGGGAAACCGGAGCUAAUACCGGAUAAUAUAUUGAACCGCAUGGUUCAAUAGUGAAAGACGGUUUUGCUGUCACUUAUAGAUGGAUCCGCGCCGCAUUAGCUAGUUGGUAAGGUAACGGCUUACCAAGGCAAGGAUGCGUAGCCGACCUGAGAGGGUGAUCGGCCACCCUGGAACUGGGCCACGGUCCAGACUCCUACGGGAGGCAGCAGUAGGGAAUCUUCCGCAAUGGGCGAGAGCCUGACGGAGCAACGCCGCGUGAGUGAUGAAGGUCUUCCGAUCGUAAAACUCUGUUAUUAGGGAAGAACAAAUGUGUAAGUAACUAUGCACGUCUUGACGGUACCUAAUCAGAAAGCCACGGCUAACUACGUG